GGGCUGUAGCUCAACGGAAGAGCAUCUGCUUUGCAUGCAAAAUGUCUCUGGUUCAACCCCCGGCAGCAUCU